AGCGGCGGACGGGUGAGUAACNCGGGGUGGCAACCUGCCUUACACAGGGGGAUAACAGUUAGAAAUGACUGCUAAUACCGCAUAAGACCACAGUACUGCAUGGUACAGUGGUAAAAACUCCGGUGGUGUAAGAUGGGCCCGCGUCUGAUUAGGUAGUUGGCGGGGUAACGGCCCACCAAGCCGACGAUCAGUAGCCGACCUGAGAGGGUGACCGGCCACAUUGGGACUGAGACACGGCCCAGACUCCUACGGAAGGCAGCAG
rnacentral:rRNA from 1 species